GUAGAUGUUGCAAAAAUAUAACUGAAAUCAAGAAAAGAAUUCUGCUCCUUCAAAGUCUCAUUUGAAUACUUUUUUUUUUUUCUACAAGGUUCUCGUGAGUGAAUUAGAAACCACUGAAAUGCUUCUGAAGCAAAGCCAUGAUCUGUUGAAAUUUCACCAUAAUCAGAAUGUUCAGCUUCUUUGCCCAAGGUUUUGAUGGGAAGUCAUGAAACAACUGAAGUAUUUUAAAAGCAAAACAGUCUGAGUUGGAACUUUCCCAGAACAUGUUCAGUUUGAUGCAAUGCCUGUUUCUGACGUCCUGCAAUAUGGAGUCUGCACUUUGCUUGGAAUAAACACAUCUGGUGAUGGACAGUUUCUUAAAUAGAAAAUGGAAUGGACGCAGAAUCACAAACAUAAAUUUUUUUCAAGAGAAGGAAUCAGACAUACAGAUGACUAAGUGGCCAGAAUGUCAUACCAAGGAUGGAAGUCUCCUUACCUCUGGUCUAUUCCAGAUGCCAUUAUAUGUCAAAUUUAAAAAAAAAAUCUCAUUAAAC